GACGAACGCUGGCGGCGUGCUUUAUGCAUGCAAGUCGAACGCGAAAGCCCCUUCGUUGGUGCGUAGAGUGGCGAACGGGUGAGUAACACGUGGGUAACCUGCCCCUCGCAGGGGGAUAACCGGGGGAAACCCCGGCUAAUACCCCGUACGCUUGCUACUUUGCAUGCUCCGGCUAGGAAAGGUAGCUUCGGCCACCCGACGCGGGAGUGGCCCCCGGGCCAUUAGCUUGUUGGUGGGGUAACGGCCCACCCAGGCGACGAUGGGUAGCUGGCCCGAGAGGGUGGGCAGCCACAGUGAGAGUGAGACGCGGCACAGACUCCUGCGGGAGGCAGGAGGCAGGUAUUUGGCGAAGGGGGAGAAAGCCUGAGGGAGAAGCGCCGCGUGGGAGGUGAAUGCCCUGGUGGCGUAAAGCCGUGUUGUGGGGAGAGAAGGGCGAAGGGUUAAUAGCCCAUAGAGUGACGGUAACCGACGAGGAAGCCCCGGCUAACUACGUG
rnacentral:rRNA from 1 species